AGGACGAACGCUGGCGGCGUGCUUAACACAUGCAAGUCGAGCGGUGAUCCUCCUUCGGGAGGUGAUCAGCGGCGAACGGGUGAGUAACACGUGGGCAACCUGCCCCUCACACUGGGAUAACCUCGGGAAACCGGGGCUAAUACCGGAUACGACCUCGAGCGGCAUCUCUUGAGGUGGAAAGCUCCGACGGUGAGGGAUGGGCCCGCGGCCUAUCAGCUUGUUGGUGGGGUAAUGGCCUACCAAGGCGACGACGGGUAGCCGGCCUGAGAGGGCGACCGGCCACACUGGGACUGAGACACGGCCCAGACUCCUACGGGAGGCAGCAGUGGGGAAUAUUGCGCAAUGGGCGAAAGCCUGACGCAGCGACGCCGCGUGAGGGAUGAAGGCCUUCGGGUUGUAAACCGUCUUUCAGCAGGGACGAAGCGAAAGUGACGGUACCUGCAGAAGAAGCACCGGCUAACUACGUGCCAGCAGCCGCGGUAA
rnacentral:rRNA from 1 species